UACUACAGUUGUUGUACACAUCCCUUAGCCAUACCAGGCUUUUGCUGUUUUAUGCUCAUUUUUUUGUUGGGUAAUGGGGAAUACAAGGUCAUACAGGUAUCUGAGAGACUCUUAGUUUCCGUGUAGAGUUGUGUCCCUUGUGCCGUGCCAGGAUCUGCCUGUUCUUUGUUGGGUAACAGGGGACAUAGUAGCACCCAGGUUUAUAAGAGACUGUGGUUCUCCUUGCAAAGUUGUGUUACUAUACACCCCAGGAUCUUCUGAUUCUUAAUCAGGAAACAGGGAAACUGAGAAAACUUGGGUACCUAGAAGGUCAGGAAAUAAAAAGACUGAGAAAGCUUUGGUACCUAGGAAGUCAGGAAACGGGGAAACAAAAAGCUUGUGUACCUAGGAAGUCUGGAAACAGGGAAACUGAGAAAGCUCGGGUAACUAGGAAGUCAGGAGACAGGGAAACUGAGAAAGCUCGGGUACCUAGGAAGUCAGGAAACGGAGAAACUGAAAAAGCUCGGGUACCUAGGAAGUCAGGAAACGGAGAAACUGAAAAAGCUCGGGUACCUAGGAAGUCAGGAAAUGGGGAAACUGAAAAAGCUCAUGUACCUAGGAAGGCGGGAAACAGGGAAACUGAGAAAAUUUGGGUACCUAGAAGUCAGGAAAUGGGGAAAUUGAGAAAGCUCGGAUACCUAGGAAGUCAGGAAAUGUGUAAACUGAAAAAGCUCAGGUACCUAGGAAGUCAGGAAACAGGGAAACUGAGAAAGAGACUGCAUUUUUGCUGGGUAAAUACUGAGAUGUGUGCCACUUAGCCAUGCCAGAAUCUCCCGAUUCUUUGUCAGG